UACGGAGGGAGCUAGCGUUAUUCGGAAUUACUGGGCGUAAAGCGCACGUAGGCGGCUUUGUAAGUUAGAGGUGAAAGCCUGGAGCUCAACUCCAGAAUUGCCUUUAAGACUGCAUCGCUUGAAUCAUGGAGAGGCGGGUGGAAUUCCGAGUGUAGAGGUGAAAUUCGUAGAUAUUCGGAAGAACACCAGUGGCGAAGGCGGCCCGCUGGACAUGUAUUGACGCUGAGGUGCGAAAGCGUGGGGAGCAAACAGG
rnacentral:rRNA from 1 species